CAUCGCAGAUUUCACAGAAGCUACCCGACUUGAAGCAGGCUGCCAUGACCAGCCAGUCUCAGGGGAUCCAACAGCUCCUUCAGGCAGAAAAAAGGGCAAAGGACAAGCUAGAGGAAGCCAAGAAGAGAAAAGGGAAGAGAUUGAAGCAAGCUAAGGAAGAAGCGAUGGCAGAAAUCGACCAGUACAGAAUGCAGAGAGAUAAGGAAUUUCGACUAAAACAAUCUAAGAUAAUGGGAUCUCAGAGUAGUCUCUCAGAAGAAAUAGAAGAACAAACACAAGGGCAGAUAAAAGAACUGAAUGGAAGUUACAGCAAGUACAUGGAGAACGUGAUGAACCAGCUCUUGAGUGUUGUCUGUGACGUGAAACCAGAAAUCCACAUGAACUACAGAAUCACCAACUAAAUGUGCACCCUAUUGUCCAAUAAAUGGUGCGUGCGUGCCACCUGGUUGCUGAUGGCUUCACGUUUAUAUCAAGAAAUUUGACGUGUAAAUCUGAAAUUUAUGAGACAUCUGCAGAUUUUAAUGUGACGUAAGUCAUACAUGAGUACUGAAUUUAAAAGCAAACAAACAAAAAGUUGUUACAGCUUUCCUGGUAACAGGUCAAAGGAAGAAAAUUUGAAGUCCGCUUGUUUUCCCAUCAUUUUGGGCAAGGAAAACCAAACAGGUCUUCACACAGAAAUGAAAUAACCUAAGGAUGUUUUUAAUUCUCCUCUAUCCUUGUUUUGACCCUCUGCACAAUCAGAAACUACAAAAUGAGAAACGGCUCCAUGAAGUUCUUACUCAUUUCUA